GUGAGGAAUUUUCCGCAAUGGGCGAAAGCCUGACGGAGCAAUGCCGCGUGAAGGAUGAAGGCCUAUGGGUUGUAAACUUCUUUUCUCAGAAAAGAAUUAUGACGGUAUCUGAGGAAUAAGCAUCGGCUAACUCUGUGCCAGCAGCCGCGGUAAGACAGAGGAUGCAAGCGUUAUCCGGAAUGAUUGGGCGUAAAGCGUCUGUAGGUUGUUUAAAAAGUAUUCUGUCAAAGAUUAGGGCUUAACCCUAGAUAGGCAGAAUAAACUUUUAAGCUAGAGGUUGGUAGAGGCAGAGGGAAUUCCCGGUGGAGCGGUGAAAUGCGUAGAUAUCGGGAGGAACACCAAAGGCGAAGGCACUCUGCUGGGCCAAUACUAACACUGAGAGACGAAAGCGAGGGGAGCAAAUGGGAUUAGAAACCCUGGUAGUCC
rnacentral:rRNA from 1 species